CUGCAAUACUAACCUUGUGCCCUGUUGUGUGCAAUCUGGCAUGGCCUGGGCUUUGCUGUGCUGCUGGCUGUCAACCCAUUGUGCUCAGGAGCUGGGAUUUUGCUGGGCAGGACACUGCUGGAUGCUCCAGCAGAGCAGAAGGAGAUGGGUUAGGCCCAGCCCCAUUUCCCCUCCGCUCUCCUGACUUAUGGCUCUCCUUAUUCUCCUAGGAAAGUGCCACAACAGAUCUAAGGUUGCAGAGGUUUUGUGUGUGUUGCCACUGGACGCCUGAAGGAAAUGGCAGAGGGAGAAGACUGUUCCAGGGAAUUAGUUGCUUUGUGCCCCAGCUGAAGGAAAAGACAGAAGAAAGUCACUGCACACUCCUGUUGCUUGAGGAGAGCCUUGGCCAGCCUCUGCUGAGCUCAGACUACUUGGGGAGAAGUACGACAGAAGACUCAAAUAACCUUGCAGCACUUAAUUGAAUGUUGCCCUGAGGGAAGUUGACUGCUGGAUGGGACAAACUGCUAAAGAAGCGAAGAAGAGGAACAGAUACUGAGAAUAAAAGACUCACAUUCCUGACUGCUAGGGUAAUUUAAGCUGCUGAAGAUUUACUGGUGUUAUACACUGAAGAGAGGAUUAUUUGGCAAAAGAGAAAAUGUUCCCCUUUCAGGAUCCCCAUGGGCAAAUGGAAGAGGGAGGAAUGGCCAGCUUACCAUUAGAGAUGUUGUCAGCUGCCAACUGGCAAUGUCAGGUGGACAUCAGUACAGAUUUCUUUGUCCAAACUGCUGAGAAGGUCUGUGAUAAUUGGAACAGCACUAAAAUGCAGUUUAGAGAUCCUGCAAAAUGUAGUUGUUCUGUUCCUGGAAGGAGUGGGACACUGCAGGCUCCUGACAUGUCUUUCCUAAAUUCUGUCCUAGUUUGAAGUGUACUUCUUAUUCCAAUGCAAAGUCAAUGCUUAUUUUUAACUCCCUCAAGUGUUUCGGCCAUGUUAUAGCUGGGUCCCGCUGCUAACAUAAUUAAGAUCUCCCACCCUGAGACCAGCUCUUCUCAGCAGUCUGCCACAGCCUGCUUUCAGCAUGCCAGGUAACAGCAUGCUGGUCCUGUGCUUUGUUUCAUGGCCCUCUGCUUUCAUUUAUGCAUGUGGAGGAGGAUGCCCACUGUCCUCAAGAGAGGAAAUUGCACCAUCACUCUGGUGAGUCUGAGGGUGAGCCUUCAUACCGUAGCUGUGGGACUCCAUUGAUGGAAGGUGCCAGCAGCACGGUUUUGUUCUCCUCUCAUCUCCCUUAGCUGUUGUAUAUGAUAAUAAAGAUACUUCCUCAAGUGUGACCUGACA
rnacentral:lncRNA from 1 species